UGCAUUCAUUUUGUUUUUUUCAGGCUCUGAUUGGUUGGAUUGAUAUUAUGUAGUUGCUAAGUUUUAAAGUCAGAUUGUGAUUUCAGUAGUUGAGACCCUGGAACUUGGGCACUUAAAGGGAAAGCACAUCAAAUGGAUUUGGGACUAAUUCAUACACACCUGCAUAUGAAGGUGAAGAAGAGGAAGAGGAAGAAGCAGAGGAACUGGAUUCAUACACCUGGCCAUUGCUAACCCUGGAUAUCUGUAAAAGAAAGUAAUAUGAAAAUUAAAACUAUAUCAUUAAAGAAGCUUUAUUCUUCUAAAUACUGCAAAUAAACAGAAAUGCAAGAGUAUAAUGUAGAAAAGGCUUUGUCCACAAAAACACAAGAAACACAGAUAAGUACAGUAAAAAUUGAAAUGUGCCCUAAAAUGAUCAGAUAUUUUGUUGCAGAGUCUUCAGACUUCCUGGUUUGGUACUACUGGAUGCAGGACAUAUUCUGGAUACCAUUUGUUACAGAAGAACACUGAUUCAGCUACAUUCUACUUGCCUCAUCAGUAGAUAAUAUCUGUUAUCUAUAUUAUAAUAGGCUGCUGAGCUCAAUGAACAGACAGAGGAAGUCUUGAUUACACUCCAGAUUCCAUUAGUGGCCCUAUAUGGGCACUCCAGAUGUGAUGGGACAGAGAAGCAUUAACCCAAAUGAGUGCCUACAUUAUAUCUGAACUUCACAAUGGGGUUCCCGUUAUAAUGGCAAAGACUCUAAUUGCAGUCUUUUGAAUGGGUGGUCAGAUUUCAGAAGUGAGAGCGUACAUAUUCAGUCCAAAGUUGAGAUGUCUGAGUAUUUUCCUAUUUUGAGGUACAGCAACCUUUGUUAGUAUGUAUAGUUAGAAAUGUUAUAGCGGUGCAGCUUUCAGCACUGGCAUACAAGAUUGCUUCACUACUUGCAAUAAAUGCUUUACUAUUGUAA